rnacentral:lncRNA from 1 species
GAAAACAAAUUGAAUAUUUUCAAAACUUAGAAGUACAUGCUCCUUCUUGACUCUGAUACCAGAUUAUACUUAUUUAACUAGGGAUAAUCGCCCCUCACACAUAUUAUGAGGGGCUUUGGGCCACUUCUGUAUCUAGUCUAAUUAUACAUGCUUUCUAAACUAUUAGCCCAACACUUUAUAAUUUAAUCCAACCAUAUACAUGUUUUUCUAUUUCCCAAAAUAAAUAUUGUAAUAGGCUAUUUCGCCCGGGCCACACCCAAAACCAAAAUAAAAAUAAUAAUAUUAAAACCAUAAACCAAAUAAAUUAAAUUUCCAAGUCCUUUUACAAAUAAUAAAACCCAACCCUAACCAUUAAACCCAAACCACCUAGCCCAGUUAGUAAAUCUAACCCAAUUAACCCAAACAGCCCAAAAUACCCCAGGCCCAAAACUCCUUUCAGCAAACCCUAAACACUAGAAGCUUCAACAGCCGUAGCCUCCAACCGCUUCUUUCACGUCACCACGAGCUCCCCUCUAUACACCCCAUGAACGGCCUCGCCACGUCUGUAGCACCACACCAUACACACCUGCAAUAGAUUAACAAACCAAAAGAGCAAGCAGCAGAUAACAACAAAAUGAUAGCAUUGAAAUUUGUAUUUUUCUUAUUUAUUUUAUUUUUACUUUUUCAGCUAUAAAGCCAAAUCGAAUGAAAUGUAAAAAGGGGUCAAAUACACGCAUAUUGGAAAGAGAGCAAUCAAAAUUGAAGAGGUGAUUUUGGAAUCUCGGUUUUUCUUUUGAUUUUUUCUUUUAUUUCAUUGAUUUAUCUGUUUGCAUAAAAAAAAGAACGAAAGGGAAAGGGGAACUCACCUAUGGUUCAUCGUUGAAGCCUCGACUCCUCCGAGAUCGAAUCUAAAGGGGGUCUCCUUUCGUUUUUUUGAUGUUGAAAAGCGACUGAGCCUUUGAGUAUGGCCUGAGUAGAGUCAAAGACUCUGCUCGCGCAUGGUGGAGCACCAGAUUUAAUGGUGGUGCAAUGGUGGCCGAAAUCUGCAAGGCGUUUCUUUAUUUAAUUUUUUU